CCUGCCAGUCUUAUAUGCUUGUUUCAAAGAUUAAGCCAUGCAUGUGAAAGUUCAGCAAAAUGUAAUGUGAAACUGCGGAAGGCUCAAUAAAUCGGUUCUAAUCUGUAUGAGUGAGAGUUUUAAAAGGAUAACUGCGCUAAUUGUGCAGCUAAUACUUGCAAAGAGGAGUGGGAAGCGAUUUCUGCUCUGCAUUUAUUGGAAUUGUAAAACCAACGGGUCGGGGCAACUCGGCCUUGUUUUAAGGAAUUACGAUAAAGAACGCGGAUCGCAGAGGGCUGCAAAAAGCCGGCGACGAUUCAUGUGAAUUUCCGCCCUAUCAAUUUGAUUGUAGGAUAGAGGCCUACAAUGAUGACGACGGGUAACGGGGAAUUGGGGUUCGAUUCCGGAGAGAGAGCCUGAGAGACGGCUGUCACUUCUAAGGAAGGCAGCAGGCGCGCAAAUUACCCAAUCGAGAGUUUCGGAGGUAGUGACGAUACAUAUCAAUGUGAGAACCAUUUGGUUAGCACAAUUGGAAUGAGAACAGAGUAAAUAGAUUAGCGAGAAGCAAUGAAGAGGGCAAGUCUGGUGCCAGCAGCCGCGGUAAUUCCAGCUCUUCUAGCGUAUGUUAAAAUUGUUGCCGUCAAAAAGCUCGUAGUUGGAUUUGGAGGUGAGUGAUGUACGUGGUUGUGGUGGCCAGUAGGCUGCUUCUGACCACAAUUCACCUGGAGAUUCGGAGCGAGUGGAAACAUUUGCUUCGAAAAUUACUUUGAAAAAAACAGAGCGCUCAAAGCAGGCAAGCUUAACUAAUUGCCUUUGAAUGGCUAGCAUUGAAUAAUGGAAUAGGACCUUGUAACUAUUUUGUUGGUUUAUAGAUUAUUAGGUAAUGAUUAAAAGGGAUGAGCGGGGUGACUGCUAUCAAAAAGCUAGAGGUGAAAUUCUUGGAUUUUUUUGAGAGCAACAAGUGCGAAAGCAUUUCACAAGGGCAUCUCCAUUGAUCAAGAACGAAAGAAUGAGGAUCGAAGAUGAUCAGAUACCGUCGUAGUUCAUUCUAUAAAUUACCAGCCAGAGAUUGCAAAAUGGUGAAAUUUAAAAAUGCCGUUUGCAGGAGCUUGAGAGAAAUCAUUGAGCUUUUGGGUUCGGGGGAAAUUAUGGUUGCAAGGCUGAAACUUAAAGGA
rnacentral:rRNA from 1 species